AUUGAACGCUGGCGGCAGGCCUAACACAUGCAAGUCGAACGGUAGCACAGAGGAGCUUGUUCCUUGGGUGACGAGUGGCGGACGGGUGAGUAAUGUCUGGGAAACUGCCCGAUGGAGGGGGAUAACUACUGGAAACGGUAGCUAAUACCGCAUAACGUCUUCGGACCAAAGUGGGGGACCUUCGGGCCUCACACCAUCGGAUGUGCCCAGAUGGGAUUAGCUAGUAGGUGGGGUAAUGGCUCACCUAGGCGACGAUCCCUAGCUGGUCUGAGGGGAUGACCAGCCACACUGGAACUGAGACACGGUCCAGACUCCUACGGGAGGCAGCAGUGGGGAAUAUUGCACAAUGGGCGCAAGCCUGAUGCAGCCAUGCCGCGUGUAUGAAGAAGGCCUUCGGGUUGUAAAGUACUUUCAGCGGGGAGGAAGGCGUUAAGGUUAAUAACCUUGGCGAUUGACGUUACCCGCAGAAGAAGCACCGGCUAACUCCGUGCCAGCCGCCGCGGUAA
rnacentral:rRNA from 1 species